GAGUGCUCAUUGGCUAUUGGCAGUAGUCCUUGCCCAAUCGCGUCGUAGCACUGCACAUACUGCAAGAUGCACGAUCAAAAUAUUUCAGGACAUCCGACAGGGGUCUGGAGAACGGAACAUGUAUCAUCUGUGAGUCCUUCACCCGCUCAAACUACGCGAGUCGCGAUAUAAUGAUCCUAGCCCAAUUUCAUAGAAUUUUACUCCGAUCGUGAACAUUUUCAAGGAUGGCAAAAACGUGGCGAAUUCGUGUAGUGUAUCCCGACAUAAGGGAGUGUCAUAGAUAUCUUUACUGUGAGAACCUUUCACCGUAAGCGGAAAUGUGAAAGUAAAAUGUCCAGUCCAAUCAAUACUUCAUUCCACAGUAGAGUGGCUGGCAAAUAGUACUGAUGGCAGGACUAUUGCUUCUGAGUACUGCUAAGAUUGUUUGAAAAUAGUUUCAAGUCUACCUAUUUGAACUUAUCAGUGAGGUGAGCAGGAGAUGGCGCUCUGAAAAUCAACCCUGUGUAAGUUUAAUAGCCUGGGUAAAUGUCAUGAUUUAGCUCGCCAGUCAUUGGCAGCCAGCUAUCAAGUCAAGUCAAGUGAUCCUGGCACUCUUCCCAAGAUCCUUUUAGGUUUUUCAACAGAAGAAAACGGCACGAUCAUUUGACUUUAUUUUGUUCAUGACAGUAUCUUGUAUUGAAGUGGACUUCAAAUUAUUCAGAAGAGUAUUAAAAGGCAUGUCGUGAGCACUCUUGACCAGAGUCCUGGCGAUGUGGAAGUAGUACACAGAGAUGAUCCCCAGGGGAAUCAGGAAGUACACCAGGAAUAUGAGGAUGGAGUGGAUCUUGGGAUGCAUGUCGUUGGAAAGGGGAUAGGGCACGCAGGCGGUGAAGGUCACAUUCUUGUCCUGGAUGUGCACUACCUGGGAGAAGAUGGCCUCGGGCACCGCCAAGAGGACGGAGAUCACCCAGAUGGACACAGCUUUCAGACAUGUCCAGAACACAGCACUGGAUGUCUGGAUGUCCAUAGGAUUCACAAUGGCUUUGUACCUGGAAACACAACAAAACCAUAGAAAAAUAUUAGUGCUCCUUCAUCUUGAUCCUUUGAAAUUACAUUAAAAGCAGUCUUUUUCAUGCAAUUAAAUGUCCAGCUGUCCUUAC